rnacentral:rRNA from 1 species
CUACGGGAGGCACCAGUGGGGAAUUUUGCGCAAUGGGGGAAACCCUGACGCAGCAAUACCGCGUGAGUGAAGAAGGCCUUCGGGUCGUAAAGCUCUUUUCUUGGGGAAGAUAGUGACGGUACCCAAGGAAUAAGCACCGGCUAACUCCGUGCCAGCAGCCGCGGUAAUACGGAGGGUGCAAGCGUUGUUCGGAUUUACUGGGCGUAAAGGGCACGUAGGCGGCACAGCAAGUUAAGGGUGAAAUCCCGGGGCUCAACUCCGGAACUGCUCUUAAAACUGCUGAGCUAGAGAUAGUCAGAGGCGGGUGGAAUUCCAGGUGUAGAGGUGAAAUUCGUAGAUAUCUGGAGGAACACCGGUGGCGAAGGCGGCCCGCUGGGGCUAUUCUGACGCUAAGGUGCGAAAGCGUGGGGAGCAAACGGGAUUAGAUACCCUGGUAGUC